GCCUCUCCUCUGCCUCCUUCACACAAACCGAGCUCUCAACCUAAAACCAGGACGAAUCCUCCUUUGGCCUUGGUACCCUCUUCUUUCUCCCAUCUCUUGUAUGUUUUCUUCUCUUCUCAAGAGAUCGACGGCGCCGCCUCAAGUCCUCAGCUUUCCAGAACCUUCUAGAAGAACCGCCGAUGCCUUAUAGAAUGGGUCGUCCAGAGAGGAGUUUUCGAUGGAUUAAUUGAUUCCGGAACGCCGGCCGGUUUCGGUUUCUUCCCUGGGCCUUGGCCUUCUUCUUCAUCUUCUUCAUCUUCUUGCGGAAGAGGCGCGAUGGAGGAUGGGAAGAUGGGGAACGUGGCGACGGUCCGGGCGGUGCUCGCCAUCCUCCAAUGGUGGGGCUUCAACGUCACCGUCAUCAUCAUCAACAAGUGGAUCUUCCAGAAACUGGAGUUCAAAUUCCCUCUGACCGUGUCGUGUGUCCACUUCAUAUGCUCUUCUAUUGGAGCCUAUAUCGCAAUCAAAGUGCUCAAAGUAAAACCACUGAUCGAGGUUGCCCCCGAGGAUCGCUGGAAAAGGAUAUUCCCCAUGUCGUUUGUGUUCUGCAUAAACAUAGUGUUGGGAAAUAUCAGUCUGCGGUACAUCCCGGUCUCUUUCAUGCAGACCAUAAAAUCUUUCACUCCUGCAACAACAGUUAUUCUGCAGUGGUUGGUCUGGAGGAAAUAUUUUGAGUGGCGCAUAUGGGCUUCUUUGAUUCCAAUAGUGGGUGGAAUCCUCUUAACUUCAGUAACUGAACUUAGCUUCAAUAUGUUUGGUUUUUGCGCUGCCAUGGUUGGCUGCCUUGCCACAUCUACAAAGACCAUCUUAGCAGAAUCCCUGCUCCAUGGAUACAAAUUUGACAGCAUUAACACAGUGUACUACAUGGCACCCUUUGCCACCAUGAUACUAUCGAUACCAGCCAUCGUACUCGAAGGGAGCGGAGUAAUCAACUGGCUGUACACAUACGAGUCAACCGUCCCUGCACUGGUCAUCAUAAUCACCUCGGGAGUUCUCGCCUUCUGCCUGAACUUCUCCGUCUUCUAUGUUAUCCAUUCAACGACGGCGGUGACCUUCAAUGUAGCUGGCAAUCUCAAGGUGGCUGUCGCGGUACUGAUCUCCUGGAUGAUCUUCCGGAACCCGAUCUCCGCCAUGAACGCCGUGGGGUGUGGGAUCACGCUCGUCGGCUGCACCUUCUACGGCUAUGUGAGGCAUCUGAUCUCCCAGCAGGCCACCUCCCCGAGCCCGCGCACCCCGAGAAGCCGGUUGGAGAUGCUCCCCCUCGUAUGCGAAAAGCAAGAGAAGAUCUAGCAGCAGGACAUAUAGGCGCUCUUGUCAAUCAUAGGAAUAAUGAACACACAGCAUUUGGGGUUAGAAAGAGCAAAGUUUCGUAGGAUACAUAUUUUGGUGUUGGUAACGAUGCUGUACUUGAUCCACCCGACGUUAUUUCGCUGUUGUUUCAUGUCAGUUGCUGCACCCGGUUUGUUCUUCGUGGAACUGAUCAGACAUUUUUUGGCCUGUGCUGCUGGACAAAUACUUUCGUGUGCUAGUAUAAAUUGUUCAGGAUGCUGCUUGCUGUAGCAUCUAACUACUGACGCUAGCAGACUGCUGUCGAAAUUUCGGCACAAUUUUUUGUUUCCUC
rnacentral:rRNA from 1 species